CUGAGCAAUCACGAUUGCCUGGAGCAACAUGGCCCCAUUCUGGUCGCUUGCGACGGGGUGGAGGAAGAGCGUACGCGGUGAGACCCGAAAGAUGGUGAACUAUUCCUGAGCAGGAUGAAGCCAGAGGAAACUCUGGUGGAAGUCCGAAGCGAUUCUGACGUGCAAAUCGAUCGUCUGACUUGGGUAUAGGGGCGAAAGACUAAUCGAACCAUCUAGUAGCUGGUUCCUUCCGA
rnacentral:rRNA from 1 species